CCUACGGGAGGCAGCAGUAGGGAAUCUUCCGCAAUGGCGAAAGCCUGACGGAGCAACGCCGCGUGAGUGAUGAAGGUCUUCGGAUCGUAAAACUCUGUUAUUAGGGAAGAAC
rnacentral:rRNA from 1 species